rnacentral:misc_RNA from 1 species
AGAAUGGUUUAUUGUUUACUGUUUUAGGCCUUUGGUGGGUAACCAUCAUAUGAUAGGGCUGGGAGGCAAAACUGGGAUCUAAAAUCUGGAGCUAAGGAUUCUUCAAUCAAAAACCACACACUCAUGUAGCCAUCUUUGUGAGAUUUACUUUCAUAACUUGGUCUUGCUCUUGCACUUCAGGUUUUUAAUCUUCAUGGCAGGAAAAGCAAAGGUGAACUCGCAUGCAGAUUUAGCAACAGCAUGCUUCUUGAAUACCCCCAGGAAAUUAAUCCGCCCUGGAAUUCUUGUACGUGUUUCCAUAACAAGUUGUCCAGACAAUAUGUCACCGAUCAAGCUUAUCAGAUUUGAUGCUAACUCAUCCACCUCUAUAGUAAGCCUGCACGGAGUCGUCGUUGACCCCCUAGAGGGUAUAACACCCGGGUCCAGGUCUACUUCUCCCACCUCUUUUGCAUGGUAAAGAAUAAAACUCUUUCCAGGGCCGUGCUUGAAGCUGGCAUAAUUUCGGUUUUGGAUUCGAAGCGUGAGGUUAAGGGUGAUGUUGAGUUCAAUAUUGAUAACUGGGAAUGAGAUGCGAGGAGAAACGCCUUCUAGGGAAGCUGAGAUAACCUGGACCUUAGGUUCUUUAGCCUUGAACACUGUCAAAGCUAGGAUGAGAAUGACUAUGAAUAGGAUGAAGAAUAAAAGUAGAAUCGAACCACCAACGAUGAGGCAACAGCGGCGGCGCCUCCGUGGCUUAGGGAGUGGCUGAUCGCCAUUUUCUUUCAUUGAGAUUGACAAGAAGAGUGGUGUUAUCCUGUUGUGGGUUGCAACUUGCAGGGGAGGGACGGGAAACGGUUAGAGAAUUAUAAGGUGAUGUGAAUGAGUGGAAGCCAUAAAUGCAGUGAUGGGUCAGAUUCAGAUACAAAGACAGAUAGCUAACCGCUUAAAGCUUAACACUAGCGUUGGUCAUGGGUGGGCUAGUUGGGCGUUGGGGGCUUUUAAUUUUCACAAUUAUCACCCUAAUUCCUAG